CGUUUCACAACCAUGACAUGUUGUCACUUUGGUUCCAGAUAUUUCCUGCUAGCUGGCCUAACACUUAUCUUCCCUAUUUUGGCUUCCUCUUUGCAGACGUUUGUCUCUUAAUAAUCAUCAGAUGACGCUUCGGAGGCAUAGUCUCUCACACCUCUCUCUGUGAGAGAGCAUCUGUUCCACGGCAGCAGAGCAUGAAAGGCGGGGGGGACAAAAACACUGUCCACAAAGUUGUCUCUGGAUCGUCAUCAGUUUCACCUCAGUUCUCGUCUCAGGCCACCCUGCAGGCCCUCCUCUUAGUGUAUUUGACAGGCUGUGUUAGACACUCGAUAUGAAUGGGUGUCAGUUUGUCAAAUACCCCAAGAGAGGGGUCCCUUUUCAUCUGGAAGAAAAAAGAGUCUUCCAGAAGAGAGAGAAGGGGCGUUUUCCAUCACUACUUGACUGUGGGAGAACACAUGUAUCCCAUGUCCCUUGUUCUUUAUACAUGCUUAGAAUAAUCUUUAUGUCUUUCUUUAGAUCUUUCAGAAUUUCAGAAUGAAGUCAGUGAGUUGUAUCAAGAGGAAUUCUAUAUUAUAUGUAAUAAAAUGAUCACAGGGGAACAAGUUCAAGAGUCCUCUGAUGUUCAAUGCAUUAAAAAUGAGAUAUCAUCAGCUGGGAUUUUAUCCUUUCGCGUAUUAUAUGAUAUAUGAACCAUUUGGUUUAUGUUUUAGUAUUCAUGCUGUAUUCAAUUCUACCAAAGUGACAUUUAACAUUGGCAUGCUAUGUUUCACUGCGUGAACAUUUAAAAACUUUACUUUAUUGUCAUGUUCUGUCAAGACUACACAGAUGGCAUGACCUUAACCACAUAUGGUAUCGCUGACAGCCAUCCCUGGCCUCAUCUUUAUAUUUUGAGAGUAUUAAGCUUGAGGUAAUGUAAUGCGGAACAUUCAUUUAUGGCAGGUAGAAAUGUCUAUUUUUACUUCUGUGCUUGUACCUUGCAGCUAAGGACUGUGGUUGUGCUGUUCCAAAUGUGAAUCUAGUUCAGUGUGCUGCAGCUUUUCAAAUGCAAAUGUGUUCCUGCAGAAGAGUUGGAGAGUGGAGUUGUAGUUUUUGAUAUUGCUCGUAGCUUGACUAUUCUCUCCCUUUGGACAAAAGCGUCUGCUAAAUGACUAAAUGUAAAUGUAAUGUAUCCAUUCUUGUUUCAGCCUCCAUAUCAAAAGCAGUGUGUUCUUCCUCAUUACGACAAACAUGCUGCUCUGAAUUUUUUUUUGCCACUUCCAGGAAGUACAAAUUGGUGGAGUGCAGCUCUAAAACAAUGGCUAAGCUUAUUUUUAGAGAAAGCAUUGAAUAAAGAGAAAUUUUCUCUCA